AAUAUUUGACAAUGGUGGCAACCCUGAUUCAGCCAUUCCUCGUGUGUGAAUAAGGUCUUCGGAUUGUCAAGCACUUUAAGUUGGGAGGUAGGGCUCUAUGUUAAUACCCUCAAGUUUUUAAGUUACCAACAGAAUAAGUACCCGCUAACUCUCUGACAGCAGCCGCGGUAAUACAGAGGGUGCAAGCGUUAAUCGGAAUUACUGGGCGUAAAGCGCGCGUAGGUGGUUCAGUAAGAUGGGUGUAGAAUCCCCGGGCUUAACCUGGGAACUGCUUUCAUAACUGCUGAGAGAGAGUACGGUAGAAGGUAGUGGAAUUUCCUGUGUAGCGGUGAAAUGCGUAGAUAUAGGAAGGAACACCAGUGGCGAAGGCGACUACCUGGACUGAUACUGACACUGAGGUGCGAAAGCGUGGGGAGCAAAC
rnacentral:rRNA from 1 species